rnacentral:rRNA from 1 species
GCGAUAAGUCGACCGCCUGGGGAGUACGGCCGCAAGGUUAAAACUCAAAUGAAUUGACGGGGGCCCGCACAAGCGGUGGAGCAUGUGGUUUAAUUCGAUGCAACGCGAAGAACCUUACCUACUCUUGACAUCGAGCGAACUUUCCAGAGAUGGAUUGGUGCCUUCGGGAACGCUCAGACAGGUGCUGCAUGGCCGUCGUCAGCUCGUGUUGUGAAAUGUUGGGUUAAGUCCCGUAACGAGCGCAACCCUUGUCCCUAUUUGCCAGCGAUUCGGUCGGGAACUCUAGGGAGACUGCCGGUGACAAACCGGAGGAAGGUGGGGACGACGUCAGGUCAUCAUGGCCCUUACGAGUAGGGCUACACACGUGCUACAAUGGCCGGUACAAUGGGCUGCAAUCCCGCGAGGGGGAGCUAAUCUCAUAAAGCCGGUCUCAGUCCGGAUCGGAGUCUGCAACUCGACUCCGUGAAGUCGGAAUCGCUAGUAAUCGUGCAUCAGAAUGGCACGGUGAAUA